ensembl:snRNA U1 U1 spliceosomal RNA
AUACUUACCUGGCAAGGGAGAUACCAUGAUCAAGAAGGUGGUUCACCCAUAGCGAGGCUCAGCCAUUGCACUGAGGCUAUGUUGCUGACCCGUGGUAAUGCGAUGGACAUCUGAUAUUUGCAAACC